GGGAAUGUGGCUUAGUGGUAGAGUGUUUGUCUAGCAUGUAUGAAGCCUUGGGUUCGAUUCCUCAUUACCA
rnacentral:tRNA from 1 species